rnacentral:rRNA from 1 species
CCCUUAGAUGUUCUGGGCAGCACGCGCGCUACAAUGGUCUUCGCAAACGGAUGCAUUCUCGAAGGAGAAUGCCAAUCUUGGAAUCUAUGCCUUGGUCGGGACAGUUGCUUGCAAUUUUUCGACUCGAACCAGGAAUUCCUUGUAAUCGUGAUUCAUCACAUCACGAUGAAUACGUCCCUGCCCUUUGUACACACCGCCCGUCGCUCCUACCGAUUGAAUGAUCCGAUGAAUAUCAUGGAUUGAGGAUGCAAGUAGGUUAGCCUAUCUUCAUCUUCGAGAAGUGAAGUAAAUCUUAUCAUUUAGAGGAAGGAGAAGUCGUAACA